CUGGGCUGUAAAAACUCUCACGCGCUCAGAUUUUGUUCAAUUACACGAGUCAGAGUAAAAUUUAACUUUCUGCUGGUUGGAACUUCAUGGUUUGGACCUAAUGAGAUGUAUCAGCACCAACACAGCUUUCCCUUUCUGGGGAAAUGCCUCCCUCCUAGAUGUCCAAGGAAAUGUUGUCUCAGCCUAUAGCUGGAAAUACAGACAAUGGGUGGACACAGAAAAAUAAGAACCAGUUCCUGUACUCUGCAUUUAAGACCAUCUGCUGCAGCUUACACCUCACCUCUAAUGAUCUGGCACAUUUUUCCUGGAUAAACCAAAGCAAAAAGGAAAGAGGUGUGUGAGGGUGAGAAUAGAUCAUGGAUUUGGCACCUGUGUCAAUCCAAGUGAUGCAAUUGAGAUGUUCCUCUCCUGAAAUCCCACACUAGGACUGCCAAUGGCAGAUAAAGAGCUCACAUUACUUUCAAGAAUAAGAACAUGAUUCACAAUAAAAUAC
rnacentral:lncRNA from 12 species